rnacentral:tRNA from 1 species
GGGGAUGUGGCUCAUUAGUAGAGUGCUUGCCUAGCAUGCAUGAGGCCCUGGGUUCAUUCCCCAGCACCACAA